rnacentral:rRNA from 1 species
CUGGAACUGCCAUCAAAACUUUUCAGCUAGAGUAUGAUAGAGGAAAGCAGAAUUUCUAGUGUAGAGGUGAAAUUCGUAGAUAUUAGAAAGAAUACCAAUUGCGAAGGCAGCUUUCUGGAUCAUUACUGACACUGAGGAACGAAAGCAUGGGUAGCGAAGAGGAUUAGAUACCCUCGUAGUCCAUGCCGUAAACGAUGUGUGUUAGACGUUGGAAAUUUAUUUUCAGUGUCGCAGCGAAAGCAAUAAACACACCGCCUGGGGAGUACGACCGCAAGGUUAAAACUCAAAUGAAUUGACGGGGACCCGCACAAGUAGUGGAGCAUGUGGUUUAAUUCGAAGAUACGCGCAGAACCUUACCAACACUUGACAUGUUCGUCGCGACUCUAAGAGAUUAGAGUUUUCGGUUCGGCCGGACGAAACACAGGUGCUGCAUGGCUGUCGUCAGCUCGUGUCGUGAGAUGUUGGGUUAAGUCCCGCAACGAGCGCAACCCUCACUUUUAGUUGCCAUCAUUUAGUUGGGCACUCUGAAAGAACUGCCAGUGAUAAGCUGGAGGAAGGUGGGGAUGACGUCAAGUCCUCAUGGCCCUUACGUGUUGGGCUACACACGUGCUACAAUGGUAUCUACAACAGGAAGCAAAACUGCGAAGUUUAGCAAAUCCUUAAAAGAUACCUCAGUUCGGAUUGCACUCUGCAACUCGAGUGCAUGAAGUCGGAAUCGCU